GAUGAACGCUAGCUACAGGCUGAACACAUGCAAGUCGAGGGACCGGCGCACGUGUGAGUAACACGUAUCCAACCUGCCCUUUACCCGGCGAUAGCGUUUCGUAAGAAAAAUUAAUACCCGGUGCAAAGGAUGGGGAUGCGUUCCAUUAGUUUGUUGGUGAGGUAACGGCUCACCAAGCCUUCGAUGGAUAGGGGUUCUGAGAGGGAGGGCCGCGACAUUGGAACUGAGACACGGUCCAAAUUCCUACGGGAGGCAGCAGUGAGGAAUAUUGGGCAAGGUGAUCUAGCCUGAACCAGCCAAGUAGCGUGAAGGAUGAAGGCUUAUUGGACGUUAACUGCUUUUACAUAAGAAUAUGUCGUAUAUUAAUAAGGAUCGGCUAAUUCCGUGCCAGCAGCCGCGGUAAUUC
rnacentral:rRNA from 1 species